UAUCGAAUGGUCUUUGACCUUUCUACCCUUCAAACCCGUGGAAGCGAAUCGUGCUUCGGCGUCCCCUUUUGGGUCGCCGCUUUUAUGCAGUGAUAUGUGUGUCGUCUGAAUAUAAACAUGAAAAUCAAAACUUUCAACAAAGGAUCUCUUGGCUCUCGCAUCGAUGAAGAACGCAGCGAAGCGCGAAAUGUAGUGUGAAUCGCAGAACAUUGUGAAUCAUCGAAUCUUUGAACGCACAUUGCGCCUCCUAUAACAGGGAGGCAUGCCUGUCUGAGUCUCAUUUAAUCUCUAAACCCACAUGGGUUUGUGUCUGGGCGCUCGUCCCUUGGGCGUCGCCUCAAAGUCAUCUGUCUUUAUGAGCGGACGAGAUCCUUUUGGACUGACCGUUUGUUGGACACAAAAUCUCUGAUUUGAGCUCAGAUCAGGUAGGACUACCGCCUGAACUUAA
rnacentral:rRNA from 1 species